GACGAACGCUGGCGGCGUGCCUAAUACAUGCAAGUCGAACGCUUCUUUCCUCCCGAGUGCUUGCACUCAAUUGGAAAGAGGAGUGGCGGACGGGUGAGUAACACGUGGGUAACCUACCCAUCAGAGGGGGAUAACACUUGGAAACAGGUGCUAAUACCGCAUAACAGUUUAUGCCGCAUGGCAUAAGAGUGAAAGGCGCUUUCGGGUGUCGUUGAUGGAUGGACCCGCGGUGCAUUAGCCAGUUGGUGAGGUAACGGCUCACCAAGGCCACGAUGCAUAGCCGACCUGAGAGGGUGAUCGGCCACACUUGGACUGAGACACGGCCCAGACUCCUACGGGAGGCAGCAGUAGGGAAUCUUCGGCAAUGGACGAAAGUCUGACCGAGCAACGCCGCGUGAGUGAAGAAGGUUUUCGGAUCGUAAAACUCUGUUGUUAGAGAAGAACAAGGACGUUAGUAACUGAACGUCCCCUGACGGUAUCUAACCAGAAAGCCACGGCUAACUACGUG
rnacentral:rRNA from 1 species